AGAGUUUGAUCCUGGCUCAGGAUGAACGCUGGCGGCGUGCCUAACACAUGCAAGUCGAGCGAUCUCUUCGGAGAGAGCGGCGGACGGGUGAGUAACGCGUGGGUAACCUGCCCUGUACACACGGAUAACAUACCGAAAGGUAUACUAAUACGGGAUAACAUACGAAAGUCGCAUGGCUUUUGUAUCAAAGCUCCGGCGGUACAGGAUGGACCCGCGUCUGAUUAGCUAGUUGGUAAGGUAAUGGCUUACCAAGGCAACGAUCAGUAGCCGACCUGAGAGGGUGAUCGGCCACACUGGAACUGAGACACGGUCCAGACUCCUACGGGAGGCAGCAGUGGGGAAUAUUGCACAAUGGGCGAAAGCCUGAUGCAGCAACGCCGCGUGAGCGAUGAAGGCCUUCGGGUCGUAAAGCUCUGUCCUCAAGGAAGAUAAUGACGGUACUUGAGGAGGAAGCCCCGGCUAACUACGUGCCAGCAGCCGCGGUAAUACGUAGGGGGCUAGCGUUAUCCGGAAUUACUGGGCGUAAAGGGUGCGUAGGUGGUUUUUUUAAGUCAGAAGUGAAAGGCUACGGCUCAACCGUAGUAAGCUUUUGAAACUAGAGAACUUGAGUGCAGGAGAGGAGAGUAGAAUUCCUAGUGUAGCGGUGAAAUGCGUAGAUAUUAGGAGGAAUACCAGUAGCGAAGGCGGCUCUCUGGACUGUAACUGACACUGAGGCACGAAAGCGUGGGGAGCAAACAGGAUUAGAUACCCUGGUAGUCCACGCCGUAAACGAUGAGUACUAGGUGUCGGGGGUUACCCCCCUCGGUGCGCAGCUAACGCAUUAAGUACUCCGCCUGGGAGGUACGCUCGCAAGAGUGAACUACAAAGGAAUUGACGGGGACCCGGCACAAGUAGCGGAGCAUGUGGUUUAAUUCGAAGCAACGCGAAGGACCUUACCUAAGCUUGACAUCCCACUGACCUCUCCCUAAUCGGAGAUUUCCCUUCGGGGACAGUGGUGACAGGUGGUGCAUGGUUGUCGUCAGCUCGUGUCGUGAGAUGUUGGGUUAAGUCCCGCAACGAGCGCAACCCUUGCCUUUAGUUGCCAGCAUUAAGUUGGGCACUCUAGAGGGACUGCCGAGGAUAACUCGGAGGAAGGUGGGGAUGACGUCAAAUCAUCAUGCCCCUUAUGCUUAGGGCUACACACGUGCUACAAUGGGUGGUACAGAGGGUUGCCAAGCCGCGAGGUGGAGCUAAUCCCUUAAAGCCAUUCUCAGUUCGGAUUGUAGGCUGAAACUCGCCUACAUGAAGCUGGAGUUACUAGUAAUCGCAGAUCAGAAUGCUGCGGUGAAUGCGUUCCCGGGUCUUGUACACACCGCCCGUCACACCAUGGAAGUUGGGGGCGCCCGAAGCCGGUUAGCUAACCUUUUAGGAAGCGGCCGUCGAAGGUGAAACCAAUGACUGGGGUGAAGUCGUAACAAGGUAGCCGUAUCGGAAGGUGCGGCUGGAUCACCU
rnacentral:rRNA from 1 species